GUGGGGAAUCUUAGACAAUGGGGGCAACCCUGAUCCAGCCAUGCCGCGUGAGUGAUGAAGGCCUUAGGGUCGUAAAGCUCUUUCGCCGGGGAAGAUAAUGACUGUACCCGGUAAAGAAACCCCGGCUAACUCCGUGCCAGCAGCCGCGGUAAUACGGAGGGGGUUAGCGUUGUUCGGAAUUACUGGGCGUAAAGCGCGCGUAGGCGGAUCGGAAAGUUGGGGGUGAAAUCCCGGGGCUCAACCCCGGAAUUGCCUUCAAAACUCCCGGUCUUGAGGUCGAGAGAGGUGAGUGGAAUUCCGAGUGUAGAGGUGAAAUUCGUAGAUAUUCGGAGGAACACCAGUGGCGAAGGCGGCUCACUGGCUCGAUACUGACGCUGAGGUGCGAAAGCGUGGGGAGCAAACAGGAUUAGAAACCCGGGUAGUCC
rnacentral:rRNA from 1 species